rnacentral:rRNA from 1 species
UUUCCGGUUGAUCCUGCCGGACCUGACUGCUAUCGGAUUGAUACUAAGCCAUGCGAGUCUUUGUAGUAAUACAAGGCAUACGGCUCAGUAACGCGUAGUCAACCUACCCUAUGGACAAGAAUAAUCUCGGGAAACUGAGCAUAAUUCUUGAUAGAUCAUAAUGCCUGGAAUGGUAUAUGGUUAAAAUGAUUCGUCGCCAUAGGAUGGGACUGCGGCCUAUCAGCUUGUUGGUGAGGUAAUGGCCCACCAAGGCGAUUACAGGUACGGGCUCUGAGAGGAGAAGCCCGGAGAUGGGUACUGAGACAAGGACCCAGGCCCUAUGGGGCGCAGCAGGCGAGAAAACUUUGCAAUGUGCGAAAGCACGACAAGGUUAGUCCGAGUGAUUUCUGCUAAAGAGAUCUUUUGCUAGUUAUAAAACCACUAGUGAAUAAGGGGUGGGCAAGUUCUGGUGUCAGCCGCCGCGGUAAAACCAGCACCUCAAGUGGUCAGGAUGAUUAUUGGGCCUAAAGCAUCCGUAGCCGGCUCUGUAAGUUUUCGGUUAAAUCUAUGCGCUCAACGUAUGGGCUGCCGAAAAUACUGUAGAGAUAGGGAGUGGGAGAGGUAGACGGUACUCGGUAGGAAGGGGUAAAAUCCUUUGAUCUAUCGAUGACCACCUGUGGCGAAGGCGGUCUACCAGAACACGUUCGACGGUGAGGGAUGAAAGCUGGGGGAGCAAACCGGAUUAGAUACCCGGGUAGUCCCAGCUGUAAACGAUGCAGACUCGAUGAUGCAUUGGCAUAUAGCCAGUGCAGUGUCGCAGGGAAGCCGUUAAGUCUGCCGCCUGGGAAGUACGUACGCAAGUAUGAAACUUAAAGGAAUUGGCGGGGGAGCACCACAAGGGGUGAAGCCUGCGGUUCAAUUGGAGUCAACGCCGGGA